rnacentral:rRNA from 1 species
GACAGAGGUGCCGAGCGUUAGGCGGAAUCAUUGGGCGUAAAGAGCGUGUAGGCGGCCAGAUAAGUCCGCUGUGAAAUCUCGAGGCUCAACUUCGAGCUGUCGGUGGAAACUAUCUGGCUAGAGUCCGGAAGAGGAGAAUGGAAUUCCUGGUGUAGCGGUGAAAUGCGCAGAUAUCAGGAAGAACACCCGUGGCGAAGGCGGUUCUCUGGGACGGUACUGACGCUGAGACGCGAAAGCGUGGGGAGCGAACAGG